rfam:Eutrema salsugineum unplaced genomic scaffold scaffold_7, whole genome shotgun sequence.
AAUCCAUGAUAAAAACAUUGAUUAGUGUAGAUCCUGAAUCUCUCCCAACCCUCACCACAAGUUUCAUUGUGGUAUUGGGUAAAAAAGAUGAGAUCUGAUUCCUGAGCUU